UGGCCUACCAGACUGUUGUGUGAGUCUCU
rnacentral:piRNA from 1 species